AUAAACAUUACUUUAAUUUUUCAUAUGCAGUCCUUUCCUGCUUCUAGCCAUCCCUGUUGCAACUUGGUAAAGAUGACCUACAAAGGGACAGUACUCCUGAGCCUGAAGGAAUAUAGGAAGGGAGACAUCAACCUGAGACGCACCUACCAUAGACAGUGGAACAUAUACGACUGCUUAAAUAAGGAGUAACUCUCUCUUGUAACUUUAAGAGGACCUGUGAGCUCAAAACCCAAAUCUGACAACUUCCUACACGCAUGAA
rnacentral:lncRNA from 1 species